AAAAAAGUGGUAUUGUGUGUUUUGGGGGAAAUUAAUGAACGCAGAGUGGGAAACAAGGAGUGUGAUGAAAUCAAAUUCUGAAUUAUGGAUAUUAUUACCAGUAAAGAAGCUUCUGUUGAAGUCAACGGUGGAUGGGAAGAUUCAAGAUGCAGUAAACCCUACGGGCGAAGUUGAUAAUCGAUGAGCAACUACUACGCAAGUUCUACCGACCAUCAUCUUCUCCAAUGCUUCCUGCACAAGCUUUUCCGAUACACUAUCAAGUGCACUGGUGGCUUCGUCUAAAAGAAGAAUAGCUGGAUUCUUGAGUAUCGCUCUUGCAAGUGCAAUUCUUUGCUUUUGGCCUCCUGAUAGUUGGACACCUCUUUCUCCACAGCCUGCCAUGAUGACACAGAUCGCCGAAACAAAAACCGGGCCACCUGUUUCUCCCUUUUGGGUAACAAGAUAACUUCCUACCCAAGCAACAAACGCCCAAGUCACAAAUACCAUACCCAUGCUCCCAAUCAUCAAACCCUUUGUAAAUCCUUGUUUUAUACCUAAUCUCAUACUCGUCUCAAGCGCAUUACUAAACUUAUCGAUCGUCUGUUGUUCACCAACGUACGAAUAGACAGUUCUGAUGGAUGAGAUAGCCUGAUCUGCCACGCCACCACCUUUAUCAUAGGCACCCUUCAUCUUCAUCCCGAGACCUUUUAGCAACGCCCCCAUGCCUAACACGGGACCCACAAAGAGGAAUACGAAAGGGAGGGAGGCCAGCGCUAGCCGCCAUGAAAGUAUGAAGCCUACUACCAUACUGAAUACGAGUGCCGAUAGGUGACAUAGACAGUUGGGUAACUGCAUGACAUUUUGGUUAAUGGUGAGUUAUUUUAAUGAACAGGAAAAUAUUUUACACUAAAUUUCUUUUAAAAUAUAUUACGGUAAAUUACACUAAAUUUCAACGGAUGUCCUUUGGCUUUAAAAA